rnacentral:rRNA from 1 species
GAUGAACGCUGGCGGCGUGCCUAAUACAUGCAAGUCGAGCGAACAGACGAGGAGCUUGCUCCUCUGACGUUAGCGGCGGACGGGUGAGUAACACGUGGAUAACCUACCUAUAAGACUGGGAUAACUUCGGGAAACCGGAGCUAAUACCGGAUAAUAUAUUGAACCGCAUGGUUCAAUAGUGAAAGACGGUUUUGCUGUCACUUAUAGCUGGAUCCGCGCCGCAUUAGCUAGUUGGUAAGGUAACGGCUUACCAAGGCAACGAUGCGUAGCCGACCUGAGAGGGUGAUCGGCCACACUGGAACUGAGACACGGUCCAGACUCCUACGGGAGGCAGCAGUAGGGAAUCUUCCGCAAUGGGCGAAAGCCUGACGGAGCAACGCCGCGUGAGUGAUGAAGGUCUUCGGAUCGUAAAACUCUGUUAUUAGUGAAGAACAAAUGUGUAAGUAACUAUGCACGUCUUGACGGUACCUAAUCAGAAAGCCACGGCUAACUACGUG